CGAUUGGUCGGCGCCGGCGUGCGAGCCAGGGAGGGAAGGGGCGGGCCGAAGCCAAGUGACGGGCUCCUGCCCCAACCCGGGAGGCCCCGGCCGCGUGCGAGGAAACCUGUUGAACUAGUCUGGCUCGGGGAGGGAAGCUAAUUGGCCACGCAGGUGAAACAGUGGCCUAACUAGGCUCCGUAGAUUUAGCCUCCUGGUCCCCAAAACUGUGUCUUGCUGUUAGAGAGAGCUGAAAUGUACAGAUACCUCUAGAGCUGCUGGUUGGAUUAUAUAAUGGGGUUGCGGUUGCUUUGUAAUCGCUUUCUGCUAGAACCUGCUUCCUGGUUUUCUCCCAAGGUGUGGGGUAAACAGAUCAGCUCCUUCUGAGUCAGGAAGAUAUUUUCAUGUUGGCUCAUCAGGACUCUUCUCCCGUCCUCCUCACCUAUAAGUAAAGCUCCCUUGCAUCCAAAACUGUAUUGACACCGUUGUGAGUGUUAGUGCUAUUACGUUGAAGAGCAUUUACUUUUCCAUCUCUAACGCGUAGCAUGGCGUCUCACGCAUAUU